AAGCAAAGGCACCUUUUCUGAAUUUCAGUCAUUACCUAUUAUAAAGAAUAGGCAGCUCCUCUAGUAGUUCUUGGUUCAGAUCUUCAAACACAGUCUGGGCUUUGUUGAACUCUUCCUCUGCCUAGGUGGUAAAAGAGACAAGACAAUCUCCCUCAAUUCUGAACCCAGUACUACAGCAUGCCUCCUUCAUCCUCUGCAUUUUUUUAGGCACUAGGCUUUUUAGGAGCCAUCCCUCUUCUUCCCCUGACCAUGCCCUCCCCAGCCUCAAGACUCUGACUAUCCUUACAGCAUCAGUGUCAGAAGAAACAGA
rnacentral:lncRNA from 1 species